AGAGUUUGAUCCUGGCUCAGGAUGAACGCUGGCGGCGUGCCUAAUACAUGCAAGUCGAACGCUUUUUCUUUCACCGGAGCUUGCUCCACCGAAAGAAAAGGAGUGGCGAACGGGUGAGUAACACGUGGGUAACCUGCCCAUCAGAAGGGGAUAACACUUGGAAACAGGUGCUAAUACCGUAUAACAAUCGAAACCGCAUGGUUUCGGUUUGAAAGGCGCUUUUGCGUCACUGAUGGAUGGACCCGCGGUGCAUUAGCUAGUUGGUGAGGUAACGGCUCACCAAGGCAACGAUGCAUAGCCGACCUGAGAGGGUGAUCGGCCACAUUGGGACUGAGACACGGCCCAAACUCCUACGGGAGGCAGCAGUAGGGAAUCUUCGGCAAUGGACGGAAGUCUGACCGAGCAACGCCGCGUGAGUGAAGAAGGUUUUCGGAUCGUAAAACUCUGUUGUUAGAGAAGAACAAGGAUGAGAGUAAAAUGUUCAUCCCUUGACGGUAUCUAACCAGAAAGCCACGGCUAACUACGUGCCAGCAGCCGCGGUAAUACGUAGGUGGCAAGCGUUGUCCGGAUUUAUUGGGCGUAAAGCGAGCGCAGGCGGUUUCUUAAGUCUGAUGUGAAAGCCCCCGGCUCAACCGGGGAGGGUCAUUGGAAACUGGGAAACUUGAGUGCAGAAGAGGAGAGUGGAAUUCCAUGUGUAGCGGUGAAAUGCGUAGAUAUAUGGAGGAACACCAGUGGCGAAGGCGGUUCUCUGGUCUGUAACUGACGCUGAGGCUCGAAAGCGUGGGGAGCAAACAGGAUUAGAUACCCUGGUAGUCCACGCCGUAAACGAUGA
rnacentral:rRNA from 1 species